GAGUAAUCAUAAUAAUCCCUUAUAAAAAAAAAGAUUAAUCGCUAUAAGAUGGGCCUGCGCAGGAUUAGGUAGUUGGUAGGGUAAAAGCCGACCAAGCCUAUGAUCCUUAGCUGGUCUGAGAGGAUGAUCAGCCACAAUGGGACUGAGAUACGGCCCAUCCCCUAUAAGGGGCAGCAGUGGGGAAUAUUGGACAAUGGGCGAAAGCCUGAUCCAGCAAUAUCGAGUGAGUGAAGAAGUCCAUAUGACUAUAAAACUCUUUCAUCAAGGAUGAUAAUGACAUUAGUUGAAUAAGAAGCCCCGGCCAACUCUGUGCCAGCAGCCGCGGUAAUACAGAGGGGGCGGGCGUUAUUCAGAAUGACUGGGCGUAAAGGGUACGUAGGCGGUCUAUUAAGUUGAAGGUAAAAGCCCAGAGCUCAACUCUGGAAAACCCUUCAAAACUGAUAUGACUGGAGUACGAGAGAGGAUAGUAGAAUUUCUAGUGUAGGGAUGGAAUAUGAAAAGAUUAGAAGGAAUAUCAAAGGCGAAGGCAACUAUCUGGAUCGAUACUGACGCUGAGGUACGAAAGUAUGGGGAGCAAACAGGAUUAGAGACCCUGGUAGUCCAUAGCUGUCAACGAUGAGUGUUAAAUGUUGGAUUUUUUCCAGUGUUACAGCUAACGCGUUAAACACUCCGCCUGGGGAAUACGGCCGCAAGGUUGAAACUCAAAGGAAUUGACGGGGGCCCGUACAAGCGGUGGAGCAUGUGGUUUAAUUCGAAAAUGCGCGCAAAACCUUACCAGCCCUUGAAAUAUAUAGUCCUCAGGAUAAUUUUUAGAAAUAGAUUUUAUCAUAAAUUAAGUCAUUAGACUUUUUUUUGGCUUUAUACAGGUGCUGCAUGGCUGUCGUCAGCUCGUGUCGUGAGAUGUUUGGUUAAGUCCUCUAACGAGCGCAACCCUCAUUUUUAGUUGUAUUGUAUACUCUAAAAAAACUGCUAGUGAAAACUAGAGGAAGGUGAGGAUGACGUCAAGUCCUCAUGGCCCUUAUGGGCUGGGCCACACACGUGCUACAAUGGUGAUUACAAAGGGUGGCAAUUACGCAAGUAGGAGCAAAUCCUAAAAGAUCAUCCCAGUUCAGAUUGUUCUCUGCAACACGAGAGCAUGAAGGUGGAAUCGCUAGUAAUCGUGGAUCAGCACGCCACGGUGAAUAUGUUCCCGGGCCUUGUACACACCGCCCGUCAAGCCUUGGGAAUCGGUCUUGCCUAAAAUUGGUCUGCUAACCUAUUCUUCUUUCAUAGUUUCUAUAUGCCAAGGUGUUAGAUCAAUGAUUGUAAGUUUGGGGGGGCUAUCAAUUACGGUGGAUUGGUAACUAAGGUUAAGUCGUAACAAGGUAAUGGUAGGGGAACCUGCUGUUG
rnacentral:rRNA from 1 species